rnacentral:rRNA from 1 species
UGGGGAAUCUUGCGCAAUGGGCGAAAGCCUGACGCAGCGACGCCGCGUGAGUGAUGAAGGCCUUCGGGUUGUAAAGCUCUGUGGGGAGAGACGAAUAAGUAGGGGUUAAUAACCCCUAUGAUGACGGUAUCUCCUUAGCAAGCACCGGCUAACUCUGUGCCAGCAGCCGCGGUAAGACAGAGGGUGCAAACGUUGUUCGGAAUUACUGGGCGUAAAGCGUGUGUAGGCGGCCACAUAAGUCAGGUGUGAAAGCCCAGGGCUCAACCCUGGAAGUGCACUUGAUACUGCGUGGCUUGAGUACUGGAGAGGUUGGUGGAAUUCUCGGUGUAGAGGUGAAAUUCGUAGAUAUCGAGAGGAACACCGGUGGCGAAGGCGGCCAACUGGACAGAUACUGACGCUGAGACACGAAAGCGUGGGGAGCAAACAGGAUUAGAUACCCCCGUAGUCC